CAGGAAGGAGACGGCAACACUAUGUUCUUCCAUGCGUUAGCCAAUAACAGGAGAUGUUCGAAUGCGAUUGGGACGAUUGUAGACGAAGGUAAAAGUUUUACUAAGGAAGAAGAUAAGAGACGCUACUUUCGAUGUAAAUUUUCAGAACUCUUUGCCCCAGAAUCACAUACAGCACACCCUGUUGGGAACUGGAGUGGACUUUUCCAAAACAGACGGGUCACCAAUUCAGAUCUAUUAACUGUCCCCUUUAAACUAGACGAAAUCAA
rnacentral:lncRNA from 1 species